CACGUAGGGCGCAAGCGUUGUCCGGAAUUAUUGGGCGUAAAGAGCUCGUAGGCGGACUGUCACGUCUGCUGUGAAAACCCGUGGCUCAACCAUGUGGUCUGCAGUCGAUACGGGCAGGCUAGAAUUCGGUAGGGGAGACUGGAAUUCCUGGUGUAGCGGUGAAAUGCGCAGAUAUCAGGAGGAACACCGGUGGCGAAGGCGGGUCUCUGGGCCGAUAUUGACGCUGAGGAGCGAAAGCGUGGGGAGCGAACAGG
rnacentral:rRNA from 1 species